rfam:Yersinia ruckeri strain 37551 YRO1b0000031, whole genome shotgun sequence.
GAGCCGGUUGGAAAGGAACAGCAUCGGGAUGAUGUGGCUUCAGGAUGAAGAAUCAGGGAUUGCUCAGGAUGAGUGAAGGGACGUUUUAGGAUGAAACAAGGGACACCUCCAGGAUGGAGACAGGGAGCCAGUAACGGAUUAUUGGUGGGUUAGGAAGACCUAAGGAUUAACACUUGGAUGGUGUAGGAAAAUGCGAAGGAUUGCUGGUUAGGAUAACCGCAGGAAAAGUUUUCAAGGAUUGAGCAGGGAGCAUCAAUUUAGCUGGAUUGCUAUAAAACGAAUAGAGGGGUACUGGUUAAACAGUACCCCUUUUUUUUGUA